GACGAACGCUGGCGGCGUGCUUAACACAUGCAAGUCGAACGGAAAGGCCCCUUUGGGGGUCCUCGAGUGGCGACCGGGUGGGUAACACGUGAGUAACCUGCCCUUACCUUCGGGAUAACUUCAGGAAACUGGGGCUAAUACCGGUAAGGAAUCCUUGCUGCAUGGUGGGGGUUGGAAAGUUUCGGCGGUUUUGGAUGGCCUCGCGGCUUAUCGGCUUGUUGGUGGGGUAGUGGCUUACCAAGGCUUUGACGGGUAGCCGGCCUGAGAGGGCGACCGGCCACAUUGGGACUGAGAUACGGCCCAGACUCCUACGGGAGGCAGCAGUGGGGAAUAUUGCACAAUGGGCGGAAGCCUGAUGCAGCAACGCCGCGUGCGGGAUGACGGCCUUCGGGUUGUAAACCGCUUUCAGCAGGGGCGAAGCUUGUGGUGACGGUACCUGCAGAAGAAGCACCGGCUAACUACGUG
rnacentral:rRNA from 1 species